rnacentral:lncRNA from 1 species
GAUCACAUGCCAGGAUGGAUACCGGGCAACCUGAACAAGGGUCACCUAGACUGGUUUUACUUCCUCUUAGCUGGACUAACGACAAUUGACUUGAUUGUCUACAUAGCAUGCGCCCGAUGGUACAAGAGUAUCAAGCUGGAAGGAAAAACUGCAGAAAAUAUUGAUGACCAAGUUAGCUUUAAGCUAUAAUAUAUACAUAUCGGUGCUAAAACAUAUAAAUAACGGUAUAGAUUAAUAGAAUAAUGAGGAAACUGGGUUAGAGGGUUGGUACCCAACAUGAUGAUGUUGAGAAAUUAAAGAUUUAAGUCGAAAGAAAAGUGGGGUAUCGUGAGAGAGAAGUCAAUUUUCC